CAGGCUCUCUAGUGGCGGGUACCGGUCACCAAGGCUCUUUUCGAUGUUAUGCCAACAGUCUCGCAUCACCUUUUUUUUGUCAAGGAGGCAGUGGUCUACCUGGUUGACUUCUCGUGCAUAGCACGAACAAGAAGAGAGAGCGACAAGGACUAGGAAGCAUACUCUAAUUUUGCAUUGUUCAUGUUCUAUGUUGUGUAGUACUAUUGGUGUGUGCUUAUGGAGGACUUCUUCACCACUCAGUGUCUUAUAUAGUGUUCAUAGUGCAAGUUUUCACACUCCCUUCGCUCAUCAAUCGCUCAAUUGGAAUAGUUUUUAUUAAAUGAGAGAUAUAUGACUUGGAUAUGUUCUAAUUUAAUGUAGGCACACUAGGUGUUGUAUCAAAUUAUUGGGAAUGGAUACUUGGAUGCAAGCUAUUAUUUAUUGGCAAUGGAGUAGUUAUUUCGAACUCUUAAUAGGUAUGUGUAAAUAACUUGGAUAUGUUGAUAUUUAUUGUAGGCACAUGUGUGCUUAUUGUUGUAUCAAAUUGAUGGUAAAGGAUACUUCUAAUUAAAUGUAGCUGGAUUCAUCCAGUUCUUGUAUCAAACUGAUGGUAAAGGCAACGAGUAGAUGCAUGCAGCAGAUCUAUCUAUCUAUCUAUCUAUCUAUCUAUCUAUCUAUCUAUCUAUCUAUCUUUAUUUAUCUAUCUAUCUAUCUAUAUCUAUCUAUCUAUAUGUCUACCAAUCUAUCUAUCUAUCUACCAAUCUCUCUCUCUCACUUUCUAUCUCUCUCUCUCUCUAUAUAUAUAUAUACAUAUAUAUAUGAGAGAGAGAGAGAGAAAUUGGCUAUGUACUCUCAACCCUCAUAUACAACAUAGAUGUGUCUUUUAUACCUCAUUAUUAUUAUAAAAUAUACUUCAUUAAUAAUUACUAAGUACCUUAAUGUGAGUUUCUAGAAAAAAAUUAUGUGAGUUCAUAUAUUUUCAAAGGUUUACAUAUAUAUUGUUUUGUUUAUACGUGAAAAUGAUAUAUUAUAAAAAGUACAUCGCAACUAAUAUUUUCUCAACAAAACUCAUAUUGAGGCAUCUUAGAAUAUUUAAUGAAGUAUAUUGAAAAUGAUAAAGAGGUAUAACCAUGUGUAUAUGAAGUAUAUUAAGAAUAGAAGUACACACUAGUAGAAAACAGGGCUAUAGCCCCGGUUCGUUUGGGCUAUUAGCCCCGGUUCACGAACCGAGACUAACAAAGCGGGACUAAUGCUAGCUCCGGUUCGGCCCCGCACCAGGAAUAAUGGUCCUCCACAUGGCGGGGCUGGGGGCGAGGCACUAGUAGAAAAUAGGGCUUUUGUUCGGGCCUGGCCAGCCCAUUAGUCCCGGUUCUUCAUGAACCGGGACCCAUGGGGGACAUUAGUCCCGGUUCAUGAGCCUAGGGGGCUGGCCGGGGCCUCGUGGGCAUUGGUCCCGGUUCGUCUGGACUCAUUUGUCCUGGUUCUAAGCACGAACUGGGACCUACGGGCCGCGCUCCUGGCCCACAUCCAUUGGUACCGGUUCGUGCCUUGAACCGGUAAAGAAGGGGGGCGCUAGUCCCGGUUUAUGCCACGAAUCGGGACAAAUAAUUUGCCUAUAUAUAACCAUCGCCGCGGCAGAGCACUCUAUUUUUUCUGGCCGGCGAGGGGAGGGUAUUUGGGUGCUCUAGCUCACCUCCUAUGCAUAUGAGGUGUUCGAUGAAAUGCCCGAGCCACACUAGUUAAGCUUUCUCCUCUUGAAGCUCGACCUCGGAGCUCCAUUUUUCCCGAGAUUUGUCUAGAUUUAGCGGUUCGUCAUGCCCCGUCCCUGUUUUCACCGCCGUUGAUCGCGUGCGUCGAUCUUGUCGCCGGCACCACCGUGGUGAGCCUCUUGUUCUUAUCUUCUUUCUGAUUUUCUUACUUUAGAUAGAGACUUGUCUGGUUUUCUUACUUUAGAUAGAUACUUGUCUGAUUUUCUUACUUUUGACACACAUAAUUAUAUAUAAUGCACGCAGAUGAACCGGCAAUGGAUGUAUGGUGACAGACACACCUUCGAGUACAUUAAGGGCAUGCAUAAUUUUCUCGAAGUGGCUGAGGCAAACAAGCAGAAUGGUUUUAUGUGUUGUCCAUGCCCUUAAUGUGGGAAUACGAAGUCUUACUCUGACGGGAAAAUCCUUCACACCCACCUGCUUUACAAGAGUUUCAUGCCACACUAUAAUGUUUGGACGAGGCACAGAGAAAUAGUGGGUUAUGAUGGAAGACGGCGAAGAAGAAGAGGACGAUGACAACUAUGUGCACCCUGAAUACCAUGAUGUUGCAACGGGGGGAGAUGCUGAAGAACAAGAGGAACCAGACGAUGUGCCCGAUGAUGCUGCAACAGGGGAAGCUACUGAAGAUCAAGAGGAACCAGCGGAUGUGCCCGAUGAUGCUGAUCUCCGCCGGGUCAUUGUCGAUGCAAAGACGCAAUCUGAAAGUCAAAAAAGAGAGGCUGAAGUUUGAUCGCAUGUUAGACGGUCAUAAAAAAGGGUUGUACCCCAAUUGCGAAGAUGGCAACACAAAUCUGGGUAUCGUACUCGAAUUGCUACAAGGAACGCAGAGAAUGUUGUGCGUGAAAAAGGAUUUGAGUUGCUACUGAAAAUAUUGAAGAAGAAUCUUCCAAAGGAUAACGAAUUGGCCGAAAGUACGUACGCAGCAAAGAAGGUCGUAUGCCCUCUAGGACCGGAGGUGCAGAAGAUACAUGUAUUCCCUAAUGACUACAUCCUCUACCGCAGUGCAUACAAGGAUUUGCACACAUGCUCGGUAUGCGGUGCAUUGCGGUAGGAGGAGGGUUAUAGCGACCCGACUCAAAAUGAGUCAAGCCUCUGUGUAUCUGUGCCAUCCCUGGAUCAGUAUGCUGGCACACACAGUACAUCAGUGUAUAUAUCAAAGUGCAAUCACAUGGAAAUAGCGGAAGCAGUCAAGGGAGUGGAAUCCCAAUAAACACCAACGGCAAGUUGAGAGCGGACCGUAACCCUGAAUCGUACUCUUACUCGUCGAAGAAAAUAUCUGCAACAUAAGACGUUGCAGCCGUGUAGGUCAGCAUAUUGAAUAUGCCGGCAACUCACAUAUGAGAGGGGGUAAAAUGUCAUCUAUACUAUAUGCAUAUAUGGCAGGUGGGGUUGUAAGUUUUAGCGUAAAGCAAAUUUUCUCCUACAACAAGAGGGUCUAAAAGCAAAAUAUUAGUACGCUGUUGGUUGUUAAUGAGAUGGUUCCGCCAACCAGUUCUCAUACCCAGGUUAUCAAUAUUUCCCACAUCAAUAUUAUUAUUUGUGUUGAGAAUUUCAGAUAACUUCAGUUCCGUUGGCUCAAGUUUUCCAUUACCAUGAACAAGCCUAAUCGAUUAGGUUUGAGUACUCCGCAGAGUUUUGCACAUGUUCCCCACAAUAUUUGAUCGCCUCAGUGUAUGUCCUCGCACUUUAGGGUGUUUGAGGACCGGAUGAUCAAAACAUGGUCCUUCAACGAGUCCCUCUGAAUCCCUGUCGGUGCCCAUCCAAUCCUACCGUCUUCUACAUCUGCUAGCACCGCCUCUCCAGAGUCGCCGCGUUGUCCAACCAAGCCAGAGCCCAUAAUGACUUGUGGCUGUGCAGGUAAGGCUUGGGUCUUGAAAAUAUCCGUCCGUCUCUUUGAGCCUGGGUGAAGCUUUCCGCAAGAUGUCAUGGCCGUCUCCAGCAUCUCGGGCCAUCCACUGGUUUCUCCAGGGAGCCGAUCAACCGUCCUUCACCCAGAGUUGCAUUGCAUCACGAGGUCUUGAAAAGUCUUGACUUAACCGGUCUUGGUUAUUAAAUUAUUCUUGCAUCACUCGUGAUAAACUCUCAGCCAGAAUCCCGUCUACUCAAGCAUGGCAAUAUGAAAUUUGUCGUCCCGGGCCAAGUAACGGGUUUGUUGGGUGCCUACCACAUGAUACUACAAUAUGUAACCAUAAUUUCCAAGUACCUACUCAGUAUGCAAUUGGGCAUAGGGUGGUAGAACUAUGAUGCAUAAAACAUAGGUGAUACAUGAUCAAAUGACUUGCCUGGUGAUGUUGACGAAGAAGAAUUUCUCGAGAAAUAACUUGAUAGACUACUGGUUACUCUCCGAUGAAAUCUAUAUAACAAACAUAUCAUUCACAUAAGCACUCCUACUAGCAAUCAUUCUAGCAAUCAAAACAAAAGACAGAGUGAAUAAGAAUCCGAAGGAAACUUCAAAUAAGACUAGGGAGUCAUCUACUACAUCAAACACUAAAUAGUUUUUGUCCAACGGAAAAUAAUAACAGGGAACUAAGAUAUAAAUUUAACUAAUAUAAAAUAAAGUAUUUUUCACAAAACUAUUUGAAAUUAUUUCCAAACGGGAUUUGAAACAGUAGAGAAAUCAAUUGCAAGUUAUUAGGGAACUAGAAUUGAUUUCAUGAUAACUUAUAAAAAUAAAAUCAAAGCUUGUUGCAAACCUACUGUUAACUAACAGAAACAAAACAUAAUCUUUCUGAAAUAUAAAAGAAAAAUAAUUUAAAAACAACUAAAGAAAGAAAAUUAGUCACAAUCCUAAAAGAGGUGAAACAGAAAUUGUUUCACAAGAAACAAUGAGCUAGAAUACUCUAACAAUUCUGAAAUUUUUACCACUGAUAAAUAAGGUCACUAGUGAUCAGUAGCAAAAAGAAUUAAUUAAAAAUCUAUUUCUAAACAUGACUAGUGAUCGGUAGCAAAAAUAAUUAAUUAAAAAUCUAUUUUUAAACACCCAGAAUAAGCAAAACAAGGUUUAAACUAAAUAUGGUCUAAUUCAAAUUUGAAAAUUACAAACAUAGACAACUAAUAUAUUUUUGAAAACUACAGGAAAAGUCUGAUCUACUGGAAAAAGAAUCAACUCCAUUGGAUCUAUAGAAUAAAAGUUAUAAAGGAAACAAAAUGGAAACUGUCUCUGUUUUUAAAUCUAAAACAGAAAAAGAAAAACUAACCUAACGAACAAAGGGGGUACGUGGCAGCUCCUGAUUGGUCAGGGGGUGUGCGCUGCGGUGACUAACUAGCGGAUGCUCGCAAACUAAACAACCUGCGUCGGCUAACUAAUAAAAUAAAAAGAACCACCGGUUCUUUUAAAAGAACCGAAGGGGUAAGCGAGAUCUAAUCCUACGCGCACGAUUUAUAUCCGACGGCUGAAAACAAAAGGGGAAGCUCACAGGAGGUGCUGCCGGGGUGGGUUCUUCUCCGGCAAGGUAGGGAGGGGGCGGUGCUCGGGGAUGCACUUCUUGCGGUCUCCGGGGGAGUCCGAGGAGUCCAGGGGUGGAGGAGGUGCUCCGGCAGACUCUCAUGGCGACGGCGCGGCUUGGGGAGGUCGGGGCGAGCAGCAGGGAGGCCAGCAGGGGCGCGGGAGGAGCUCUCGGAGCUUCGGCUCCGGCGAGGUGGUGCAGGGGGUGGCUAAAGGCGGCGAGGCGGGGCGGUGGUGAGGGGAACGGAGUGCGGGGGACAGGGGGCUUUUAUAGGAGGAGGGGAGGCCUCGGGAUGGAAAGAGAGAGAGAUCCGGGAGGGGAUCGGCCGGCGAAGGAAGGUCCGGUGAGGCCGGGCUGUCGGACGAGAGAAAAUGAAGGGAGAGGGCGCGGGGGGCUUUAUCAUUUUUCCAAAACCAAAAUAAAUACUUUUUAAAAAAUGUUUUUGGAGAAAAAACCCCUAAAGGUUUUAUUUUCUUUUGUAAUUAUUUUCUCAAUAAAAUCUGGUUUUCUUGGCUCAAAAAUAUUUCAAAAAUGCCCCUCAUUUUGGGAGGGUCAUUUUCCUCCGCUCUUUCUUGCUUGCAAGAAUUUAUUUUCGGGGUAUUUUCUCCGGGAAGAAAAAUAGAAAUGCAGAAGCAAAAAUUUGAAAGAAUUCAAAUGCAAACUCCAUUCAAAUUCUUAUAGUUGAAGAAGUCAUGUCAUCUUCUCUCAUUGCUUUUGAAUUUUGAAUUUACCGGAGAAGGGGAAAGUCAUUUUAUUCCCUCUCAUUCAAAAGUUUUGAAAAGUUUCAAAUUUCACUCAAGCUUCAAUCACUCAAGCAAACAAACAAACAACCUAAUAAUUUUUUUAACAUUCCAAAAUUUGGGAUGUUACAAACCUAACACACUUAAAAUGAAUCUCGUCCUCGAGAUUCGGAAGGGCUAGAAAGAAAAGGUUAGGGUUUGGGGUCUUCUAACGAAUCCAACCUCCGGCAAAGCGGGAUGCUACCACACUUAAUAUGAGAGCUACUGGUCCUCAAAAUUUUAGACAUCCUCUUGGGUUUUGACAUCUGACUCCUCACAGUCUUCAUACUAACUCCUCUGGUGAUGCUCUUCCGUUAUAUUCAUAACGUUUCCAUUUAUAACGAGGGUCCUUGUGUUGAUAUAAGCUUCUUCCGUUACUGGGCCUUCUUAACUGACAGUCUCGUGGUCAAUUUCUAAAUAACCUAUCGACGAUUCUCAUGGUGGUCUACCAUUUGUGGUUAUCCUGUAGAGAGAGAGGUCUUGUCUUCAUCCUCACCGUAAAAUUUCCUACGCGUGAAAACAAGUGCCAUGUACAUGGGCUUUUCUUAUACCAUUCUAAGGCUUAAAUAAAAGCUUCAAAGAACGUCGUCUCUCACUAUGGGUAAGUCUCUCAGAUUUACCAUUCCGAAUAGCAAGAGAAUGAUAAUAGUAAGUCGUCAUGGUGGCCAAGCCAUGUCGCACUGAAAUCAUUACCUUGUAUAAGGCUUAGUGAAUCUCGCAUUCCAACACUUGGGCAUCCUCUCCAGCGUUCCAGAAUUUCUCUUGUACACGAACGAAGUUCGGAUAAAUCCAAUGAUUCUGCAAGCUGAACAAAACAUCUAUCGUAACUUCACAACUCUCAGGUUUUCGUAUGCUCCUAGGGAAAUAUUGCUGAUACAAGUUUCCUUCUCCAAAAGAUAGUACUAGAUCCUUGUUAGUCUCGGGGUCUGUGGGUUGCAGGCAUACUGGGGAUUACUCCGCCUUUAAAUUUCCAUAGUGUUUGAUUCCAUCAUACUCUUGGGGUAACCAUCAUAAAAAUAGUCCUCAGACUUAUUUUUGGUACACGCUCAUUCUAUGGGAUACUUUCCAUUGGUUUGUUUACCAUGAAAAGGUAUUGGUUCAUCCAUAAAUCCUUUAUUACAUCCUUAAUUUCUUCUCAAAAACUUCAAUUCAAAAGUACUCUAUUACAAAUGCUGCCAUCCACAUUGUUCGGUAUCGUCGGGCAUUUCUGCCAACAUUAUUCAUUCGUCUCUCUUGGAGGUACUUUAGUUCCACUGGAACUUUCCAAUGUGCUCCUUGAAAUAAUCCAUCUUUUGCUUCAUCAUGGUGGCAUGAGCUUCAUCUCCAUCAUCUCCACAUGCACUUCACUCAGGUAUUCCUGGGUAUGACAGAGUCUUGCUUCAAGUAUUUCUCCAAUCUGAUGUAUGGCUUCCAUGGCAGCUUCACGAACAACAUCAAAGAAGGUUGCUCGUGGUACACGUGAAAUGAAAAAGUAUUGCCCCAUAGUCUUUGGACAAACUCCUUUCACAUGGUGGAGGUGUACUUCCACAUACCAAAGUUCUACUCCACUUUCCAUGAAUGGGUAGCCUUUGUAGACUGCAUCUCCUUCAAGAUGAAUGUGCUUCAUCAUGUCCUUCAGGAUUUUCGGGUAAUCAUGAUCACUGGUCAGGGUCAUGAUCGUUUAUGGGCCCUUGAGGAAUGACUCGUAGAGAGUUGUCAUCCGCUGGUGUCAGUAAAUAGGUACUCAGAGGAAUGUAUAUGUCUCCUUGAUAAUCAUGGUACAUUCCUACUCAGUGGAUCCUGUGGGUUUACCGAUUACUACCACACUUAAAAUGAAUUAUACUCAUGCCUGCAUUUACCAUAUUUUCUCAUAUCCUCAUAAAUGUUCAGAGAUCUUUGUUCGUAGAGAAACAACGCAUACAGUUUCAACAUAGGCAAUCAUGAGACAAUAAAUUCCAUUUAUUCAUGAAGUUAUUACAAUCUCGGGGAAUUAUCUUACAAAAAUUCAACUCCAUGAUUUCAUGAAAAACAAGAAUGCUUCAGAUUACACUAAUUGCCGCGGUCAAAACUUAACUACUUCUUUUUAGCUUUCUUCCUUUGUGGACAAUCACUAGCAUAAUGUCCUGCUUCCUUGCAACGAAAGCAAAUGAGUUCUGACAAGUCUCGAUGCUUCUUAGCGUUUGCUUUUGCUCCUUGGAUUUCCAGGCUUCCUUCCUGAGCACAUGUAUUUGUGGUGGCCAAAUUCCAUGCACUUGUAACAUCUGACAUGACUCAGGUCUAUAUCUACAGAGAUUUGGCUCUUCCGNNNNNNNNNNNNNNNNNNNNNNNNNNNNCUCUUCCGAGGGUACUUUUUUUUUCUUUCCGGACUCCUUUAUUUUGGCAAGUUCUUAUAUUUCAAGUGGAUCAAACUCCACUUUUUCCGUCGGGAAGUUUCGCAGAUACUCUUGGCUUCCCUUCGUGCAAUCCUUUGAAUAAUGUCCUUCUUUUCCACAUGAGUAGCAUGCAUUGGAGAAAAAUCUGGUCUGACCUUGUCCAUCAGGGUCUUCAAUAUUUUCGUUCAUCAUUUUUUCUUCUAGAAUCUUCUUCUUGAGGGUUUCCUUCACUGCAUCUUUCUGCUGUUUGACAACUUGUUGCACCUUGGGGUAAAUGUGACACUGACCUUGGUAGUGGGUGGUUCCUUCACAAAGGAAACAAGUCACGUGACUCCUUGGGCACUCCUCAGCUGGGUGAUUUUCUUCACAAUGAGUGCAUCCAUCCUUGUGUUCUUCUGGGGUGUGUCCUAUUUCUCCACAGAUCUUGCAUGCACAAGUCUUCUCCUUCGGAUUAUCAUAGCACUUUUGAAUAAGACGGGACCUUAACAAAGUAUUCUUGAAUUCGUCCCAGGUUGUUGCUCCACUAAAUCCUUGUAUGGCAUGGUGCAUUUUCCACCAGAUAGCAGCACUUUGGGUAAGCUACUGGAGAGCGUGUUCCACGUCAUACUUCCUUGAGAUCAAGUUGCUCCCGAAGUGGUUCUCCAUGUUCUGAAUCCAUAUUUCAGCCUCUAGCUGGGUCAUUGGUCCAGAGACUACAAGUCCAGCUUCAUACUCCAUUUGGUAGGGUUGAGGUUUUGGGGAUGAGACGGGUAAGAGAGGGAGGGAGAUACACACAAUACAAACAAUAUUUUUUAAGAAUAGGUUUUUAUUUGUGGCUAUCGGAAAACACACACCAAUGACGGCUUACAAAUCAUCGCAACUAAUGUGGGUAUAUAACAGGGGUUUGGACUUCUAAUGGUCAUAUAAAUAUUCGAACGCUUCAGGGUCUUCGAAUUCUUCGGGUCUUGAGAGUCUUCAAUUGGUGUAGCUUCAAUUGCAUGAUGAAAUCCUCUUUACUUUGGAGUAGAACUCGGUUGAUUAUCCAUGAGGUCAAAGGGGUAAGGGCAUUGUCUAACUAUGUGAGGUGAGAGAGAACGUUUGAUGAAAUCAGAAGAGAUGAGAAGUAAAAAGUGUUCUCGAAAAUAAGAUUUUUGAGAGAUCCUAUCCUAAGAAGUUUUCAGUUUCUAGGGUCACGUCCUACAGUCAACAUGUGCUCUGAUACCAUUUCUGUAGCGACCCGACUCAAAACGAGUCAAGCCUCUAUGGAUCUGUGCCAUCCCUGGAUCAGUAUGCUGGCACACACAGUACAUCAAUGUAUAUAUCAAAGUGCAAUCACAUGGAAAUAGCGUAAAACUGAUAUAUACCUUAAAUAUUUCAGCGGAAGCAGUCAAGGGAGUGGAGUCCCAAUAAAUACCAACGGCAAGUUGAGUGCGGACCGUAACCCUGAAUCGUACUCUUACGCGUCGAAGAAAAUAUCUGCAACAUAAGACGUUGCAGCCGUGUAGGUCAGCAUAUUGAAUAUGCCGGCAACUCACAUAUGAGAGGGGGUAAAAUGUCAUCUAUACUAUAUGCAUAUAUGGCAGGUGGGGUUGUAAGUUUUAGCGUAAAGCAAAUUUUCUCCUACAACAAGAGGGUCUAAAAGCAAAAUAUUAGUACGCUGUUGGUUGUUAAUGAGAUGGUUCCGCCAACCAGUUCUCAUACCCAGGUUAUCAAUAUUUCCCACAUCAAUAUUAUUAUUUGUGUUGAGAAUUUCAGAUAACUUCAAUUCCUUUGGCUCAAGUUGUCCAUGACCGUGGACACGGCUAAUCGAUUAGGUUUGAGUACUCUGCAGAGUUUUGCACACGUUCCCCACAAUAUUUGAUCGCCUCCGUGUAUGUCCUCGGACUUCAGGGUGUUUGAAGACCGGAUGAUCAAAACAUGGUCUUUCAACGGGUCCCUCUGAAUCCCUGUCGGUGCCCAUCCAAUCCUACCGUUCUUCUACAUCUGCUAGCACCGCCUGUCCAGAGUCGCCGCGUUGUCCAACCAAGCUAGAGCCCAUAAUGACUUGUGGCUGUGCAGGUAAGCCUUGGGUCUUGAAAAUAUCCGCCCGUCUCUUUGAGCCUGGGUGAAACUUUCCGCAAGAUGUCAUGGCCGUCUCCAGCAUCUCGGGUCAUCCACUGGUUUCUCCAGGGAGCCGAUCAACCGUCCUUCACCCAGAGUUGCAUUGCAUCACGAGGUCUUGAAAAGUCUUGACUUAACCGGUCUUGGUUAUUAAAUUAUUCUUGCAUCACUCGUGAUAAACUCUCAGCCAGAAUCCCGUCUACUCAAGCAUGGCAAUAUGAAAUUUGUCGUCCCGGGCCAAGUAACGGGUUUGUUGGGUGCCUACCACAUGAUACUACAAUAUGUAACCAUAAUUUCCAAGUACCUACUCAGUAUGCAAUUGGGCAUAGGGUGGUAGAACUAUGAUGCAUAAAACAUAGGUGAUACAUGAUCAAAUGACUUGCCUGGUGAUGUGGACAAAGAAGAAUUUCUCGAGAAAUAACUUGAUGGACUACUCGUCAUUCUCCGAUGAAAUCUAUAUAACAAACAUAUCAUUCACAUAGGCACUCCUACUAGCAAUCAUUCUAGCAAUCAAAACAAAAGAGAGAGUGAAUAAGAAUCCGAAGGAAACUUCAAAUAAGACUAGGGAGUCUUCUACUACAUCAAAUACUAAAUAGUUUUUGUCCAACGGAAAAUAAUAACAGGGAACUAAGAUAUAAAUUUAACUAAGAUAAAAUAAAGUAUUUUUCACAAAACUAUUUGAAAGUAUUUCCAAACGGGAUAUGAAACAGUAGAGAAAUCAAUUGCAAGUUAUUAGGGAACUAGAAUUGAUUUCAUGAUAACAUAUAAAAAUAAAAUCAAAGCUUGUUGCAAACCUACUGUUAACUAACAGAAACAAAACGUAAUCUUUCUGAAAUAUAAAACAAAAAUAAUUUAAAAACAACUAAAGAAAGAAAAUUAGUCACAAUCCUAAAAGAGGUGAAACAGAAAUUGUUUCACAAGAAACAAUGAGCUAGAAUACUCUAACAAUUCUGAAAUUUUUACCACUGAUAAAUAAGGUCACUAGUGAUCAGUAGCAAAAAGAAUUAAUUAAAAAUCUAUUUCUAAACUCCCGGCAUAAGCAAAACAAGGUUUAAACUAAAUCUGGUGUAAUUCAAAUUUGAAAAUUACAAACAUAGACAAAUAAUAUGUUUUUGGAAACUACAGGAAAAUUGUGAUCUACUCGAAAAAUAAUCAACUCCAUUGGAUCUACAGAAUAAAAGUUAUAAAGGAAACAAAAUUGAAACUGUCUCUAUUUUUAAAUCUAAAACAGAAAAAGAAAAACUAACCUAACGAACAAAGGGGGUACGUGGCAGCUCCUGAUUGGUCAGGGGGUGUGUGCUGCGGUGGCUAACUAGCGGACGCUCGCAAACUAAACAACCCGCGUCGCCUAACUAAUUAAAUAAAAAGAACCACCGGUUGUUUUAAAAGAACCGAAGGGGUAAGCGAGAUCUAAUCCUACGCGCACGAUUUAUAUCCGAUGGCUGAAAACAAAAGGGGAAGCUCACAGGAGGUGCUGCCGGGGUGUGUUCUUCUCCGGCGAGGUAGGGAGGUGGCGGUGCUCGGGGAUGCACUUCCUGCGGUCUCCGGGGGCGUCCGAGGAGUCCAGGGGGUGGAGGAGCUGCUCCGACAGUCUCUCGUGGCGACGGCGUGGCUUUGGGAGGUCGGGGCGAGCAGCAGGGAGGCCAGCAGGGGCGCUGGAGGAGCUCCCUGAGCUUCGGCUCCGGCGUGGUGGUGCAGGGGGUGGCUAGAGGCGGCGAGGCGGGGCGGUGGCGAGGGGAACGAANNNNNNNNNNNNNNNNNNNNNNNNNNNNNNNNNNNNNNNNNNNNNNNNNNNNNNNNNNNNNNNNNNNNNNNNNNNNNNNNNNNNNNNNNNNNNNNNNNNNNNNNNNNNNNNNNNNNNNNNNNNNNNNNNNNNNNNNNNNNNNNNNNNNNNNNNNNNNNNNNNNNNNNNNNNNNNNNNNNNNNNNNNNNNNNNNNNNNNNNNNNGGUAGCGGUGACCGGUCGGGUGGGGGUUUCGGGCGGUGGGCCCCGGGCGUCAGCGAGAGUGGGCGCGGGUGCGUUCGGUCGGCCAACCGGCCUGAAAAAGGAAACCCCGGGCCAGGCGGGAUCCGGCCGAGCAGGGCUAUAAUGCGCCCGAGCGCUUUCCUUUAAAAAAUUAUUUCUUUCCGAUUUUGAUAUUUUUCCAAAACAAGAAGUAAAUAAAUAUAAAAAGGAAACAAAUAAUUACCAAAUAUAGGGGUAUUAUAUACCAAAAAUUUCAGAAAAAUAUUUCCUAUUUAUUUAUCAUUUUUCCAAAACCAAAAUAAAUACUUUUUAAAAAAUGUUUUUUCCGAAAUAGAAAUGCAGAAGCAAAAAAUUUGAAAGAAUUCAAAUGCAAACUCCAUUCAGAUUCUUUAUAGUUGAAGAAGUCAUGUCAUCUUCUCUCAUUGCUUUUGAAUUUUUAAUUUACCGAAGAAGGGGAAAGUCAUUUUAUUCCCUCUCAUUCAAAAGUUUUGAAAAGUUUCAAAUUUCACUCAAUCUUCAAUCACUCAAGCAAACAAACAAACAACCUAAUAUUUUUUUUAACAUUCCAAAAUUUCGGAUGUUACAAGGGUUCCUGCAAAGGUGAUGUUGUAUGCUCCUAUAAUACCACGGUUGAAACGAAUGUUCAGAAACAAAGAGCAUGCCAAGUUGAUGCGAUGCCACAGUGAGGACUGUAAGAAAGAUGGGAAGUUGAGAGCACCCGCUGACGGGUCGCAGUGGAGAAAAAUCGAGAGAGAGUACUGGGCUGAGUUUGCACGUGACCCAAGGAAUGUAUGGUUUGGUUUAAGCACGGAUGGCAUUAAUCCUUUCGGGGAGCAGAGCAGCAAUAACAGCACCUGGCCCGUGACUCUAUGUAUGUAUAACCUUCCUCCUUGGAUGUGCAUGAAGCGGAUGUUCAUUAUGAUGCCAGUUCUCAUCCAAGGCCCUAAGCAACCCGGCAAUGACAUUGAUGUGUACCUAAGACCAUUAGUUGAAGAAAUUUUAUAGCUGUGGAAUGGAAGCAGUGUACAUGUGUGGGAUGAGCACAGACAGGAGGAAUUUGACCUGCACGCGUUGCUGUUUGUAACCAUCAACGAUUGGCCCAUGAUGUCCCACCAGCGUAUGGGAUCACAGCAGUUUUCGAGGGUAGAGUAUUCAACCCAAAUUUGUUGGCUCGCACGAGGUAAGCGAAAGAACAUUCUCAAGUAUUAGCUGCUGAAUGUGUCAGAUUCAACCACACCUGAAAGAUUAGUGUAUGCAAGCAAAGUAUCAGUAACAAAGUAGUAUGAUAGCAACGGUGCCAGAAACGACCUGUUGACAAGGCACACUAUUCCUAACUGUUGUAUCAAUGGCGCGGAAAAAAGCCUUGUUGACAGGAUGUCAGUUCCAACAAAAUCUUGCAACGAGUAAGAGCGGAGUAGUAAGGAACAGUAGUAGCAGCAGCAGCAAAGUAACAAGUAACAGCACUAGCGACAGCAGCAGCAAAGUGGCCCAAUCCCUUUUGUAGCAAGGGACAAGCCUAGGCAAAGUAACGUAGCGAGAACCAGUAGUAAAAGACUCGUAGGUUGUGGAUCGGUGAUGGAUGAGUAUGACGGAUGUGAUUCAUCAUGUAACAGCUAUAACACGGAGAGAUAAGUAACUAGCUCCCGUUCGUCAAUCUAAUGUAGGCAUGUAUUCCGUACGUAGUCAUACGUGCUUAGGGAAAAGAACUUGCCUGACAUCUAUUGUCCAUCCCUCCCAUGGCAGCGGGGUCCUAAUGGAAACUACGAGAUAUUAAGGUUCUCCUUUUAAUAAAGAACCGGACCAACGCAUUAGCACGUGGUGAAUAGAUGAACUCCUCAUACUAUGAUCAUCUCCGGGGGUGGUUCCGGCUAUUGUCACUCCGGGAUUGCCGGGUCAUAACAUAUAGUAGGUGAGUACAACUUGCAAGAUAGGAUCUAAAACACACAUAUAUUGGCGACAACAUAAUAGGUUCGAAUCUGAAAUCAUGGCACUCGGGCCCUAGUGACAAGCAUUAAGCAUAGCCAAGUAGUAGCAACAUCAAUCUAGAACAUAGUGGAUACUAGGGAUCAAUCCCCGUCAAGAACUAACUCGAUUACAUGAUAGAUCUCAUCCAACUCAUCACCGUCCAACAAGCCUACGAUGAGAUUACUCGCGAACGAUGAAGAGCAUCAUGGAAUUGUCGAUGGAGAAAGGUUGAUGAUGAGGAUGGCAACGAUUUCCCGUCUCCGGAGCCCGAAAAGGACUCCAGAUUUGCCCUCCAGAUGAAGAACAUGAUGUGGCGGCGCCUCCGUAUCGCAAAACGCGAUGAAACCUUCUCUUUGAUUUAUUUCUACGCGAAACAGAAGAUAUAGAGCUGAGAUUGGGGGCCGUGAUGCCACGUGGGCCCCACAAGCCUGCAUGGCGCGGCCAUAGGGGGUGGCCGCGGCCUGUGGGCUUGUGGCCCACUGGCACGCACCCUCCGGUGGAUCUUUGCGCAUGUAUUUUUCUUUUAUUCCAGAAAAAAUCUCCGUAAAUUUUCAGGAUGUUCCGAGAACUUUUAUUUCUGCACAAAAACAACACCAUGGCAAUUCUGCUGAAAACAACGUCAGUCCGGGUUAGUUCCAUUCAAAUCACGCAAAUUAGAUUCCAAAACAAGGGCAAAAGAGUUUGGAAAAGUAGAUACGACGGAGACGUAUCAACUCCCCCAAGCUUAAAGCCUUGCUUGUCCUCAAGCAACUCAGUUGACAAACUGAGAGAGACAAAAGAAAAACUUUGACGAACUAUGUUUGAUCUUGUUGUUCCAACUAUGUCUAACUCAUAACCAGAAUUUCAGCAAGAUCACAAACAAAACACAUAAGAAAAUGACGUCUAGGUCUCACGUAAACUCAUAUCAAUGGCAUAAUCAGCUAGCGAGCAAAUAAUAAUAAGCCUCAAGUGUCAACACUUCAAUCAAAACAACAUGAAGCAGUACGAAUAGAUGGUAUCUCGCUAGCUCUUUCUGAGACCGCAAAACAUAAAUGCAGAGCACCUUAAAAGACCAAGGGCUGACAAAACAUUGUAAUUGAAGGCAAUGAAUAUCCAUUCAAAGUCACACUCAACACAGUUAAAAGAAAAGCAUAAAAAAGACAGAGGUGCUCUAAUUGGUGCUUUUGUAAGAGGAGGAUGACUCAACAGGAACAUAAAUAGACAUGCCCUUCGCAGAGGGAAGCAUUGAUUUGUAGAGGUGCCGGAGCUCAAGCUUUGAAAACAGAGACAAAAACUGGAUGCACUUCGUGUACAAAACAAACAAUCUCUUUUGAAGUAUCAGGGUUUCAUAUGAAAACUCAUUUGUUACAAAGGGAUUUAAAUUUUUGAACUUAUUUGAACUCCAGACUUUUUGUGUGUUCAGAAUGCACCAUUCAAAGUGACAUCAUCAAUUUUCAACUAUUUUUGACUUCAUUUGGUAUUUUUCAUGCAUUUACUGAUUGUUUUGAGCUAAAUGGCCCUUAAAUUAAAAAGCACUACGAAAACUCAUGUGUUACAAAGGGCAUUUCAUUUCUUCACUUUUUCUUCGCUUGUGUUCUUUUCUUAUUGCGCCGUAACCAUGGAUAAUCUUCAUCGUUUAACAGGGUGCUUGGGUCGGCCUUGACUUUGAAAGGAGGAAUUUCAUGAAACUUUUCAUAAUCUUCAGACAUAUCUGUCUUGCCCUCCAAUCCCAUGAUGUCUCUUUUUCCUCAAAGAACUAUGUGGUGCUUUGGAAAAUCAUUUGAUGUAUUCUCUUCCUUAUAUUUUUUUUCUCAGUUUGGUAGACAUGUCCUUCACAUUGAAAACCUGCGCGAGAUCAUUGGCUAAGACGAAUGGUUCCUCUGCGUGCCCAAGAUUGUUCAGAUCCACUGUUGUCAUUCCGUACUGUGGGUCUAUCUGUACCCCUCCUCCUGACAGAUUGACCCAUUUGCACUGAAACAAAGGGACCUUGAAAUCAUGUCCAUAGUCAAGUUCCCAUAUGUCCACUAUGUAACCAUAAUAUGUGUCCUUUCCCCUCUUGGUUGCUGCAUCAAAGCGGACACCGCUGUUUUGGUUGGUGGUCUUUUAAUCUUGGGUGAUCGUGUAAAAUGUAUUCCCAUUUAUCUCGUACCCUUGGUAAGUCAAUACAGUUGAAAAUGGUCCCCUGGCCAAUGACUACAACUCAUUAGAAACAGUGUUGUCACACAUGAGACAUUUUUGCAACCAACUACCGAAAGUCAUGAUGUGUUCAUACGUAAUCCAGUCGUCACACUGCUCCGGGUGUUUGGAGCUUGGAAUAUUCUUGUGUUCAUCGACAUACGGGGUCACCAAGGUAGAAUUCCGUAGAACUGUGUAGUGUGCUUGAGACCAAGAAUGCCCGUCCCUACAUAUUAUUGAGUCGGCUCCUAGUGUGCCUUUUCCAGUCAGUCUCCCCUCAUACCGCGAUUGAGGGAGACCAAAUUUUUAAGGUCAGGAAUGAAGUCAACACAAAACCCAGUGACAUCCUCUCGUUGAUGGCCCAUGGAGAUGCUUCCUUCUGGCCUAACGUGGUUACGAACAUAUUUCUUUAAGAUUCCCAUGAACCUCUCAAUGGGGAACAUAUUAUGUAGAAAUACAAGGCCAAGAACGAUAAUCUCGUCGACUAGAUGAACUAGGAUGUGCGUCAUGAUAUUGAAGAAGGAUGGUGGGAACACGAGCUCGAAACUAACAAGACAUUGCACCAAAUCACUCCUUAACCUUGGCAGGAUUACUGGAUCGAUCACCUUCUGAGAGAUUACAUUGAGGAAUGCACAUACCUUCACAAUGGCUAAUCGUAUGUUUUCCACUAGAAGCCCCCUCAAUGCAGCCGGGAGAAGUUGCGUCAUAAUCACCUGGCAGUCAUGAGACUUGAGGUUCUCGAACUUUUUCUCUGCCAUAUUUAUUAUUCCCUUUAUAUUCGACGAGAAGCUAGACGGGACCUUCAUACUGAGCAGGCAUUCAAAUAAGAUUUCCUUCUCUUAUUUGGUAAGAGUGUAGCUGGCAGGACCUUCAUACUGCUUUGGAUGCAUGUCGUCUUUUUCAUGCACACGUUGAUUUUCCUCCCAUGCCUCCGGUGUAUCUUUUGUCUUCCCAUACACUCCCAAGAAGCCUAGCAGGUUCACGCAAAGAUUCUUCGUCAAGUGCAUCACGUAAAUUGCAGAGUGGACCUCUAGGUGUUUAUAAUAGGGUAGGUCCCAAAAUAUAGAUUUCUUCUUCCACAUGGGUGCAUGUCCCACAUCGUCAUUCGGAAUAGAUAGUCUGCGAGGACCCUUUCCAAAGAUUACUUGUAAAUCAUUGACCAUAUCAAGUAUGUGAUCACCAAUACGGAGGGCGGGCUUCUUUCGGUGGUCUGCCUCACCUUUGAAAUUCUUUCCUUUCUUUCGACAUUGAUGGUUGGUCGGAAGAAAUCGACGAUGCCCUGGUACACAUUCUUCCUGCAUUUGUCCAAAUAUAUACUGUCGGUGUCAUCUCAACAGUGUGUGCAUGCGUUGUCUCCCUUUUUAUCUGUCCUGAAAGGUUACUAAGAGCAGGCCAAUCGUUAAUGGUUACAAACAGCAAUGCAUGUAGGUCAAAUUCCUCCUGUUCGUUCUCACCCCACACACGGACACCAUUUUCAUUCCAUAGCUGUAAAAGUUAAUCAACUAAUGUCCUUAGGUACACAUCAAUGUCAUUGCCGGGUUUCCUAGGGUCUUGGAUGAGCACUGGCAUCAUAAUGAAUUUCCACUUCAUGCACAACCAAGGAGGAAGGUUAUACAUACAUAGACUCACAAGCCAUGUGCUAUGUUUCCUACUCUACUCCCCAAAAGGAUUAACACCAUCUGCACUUAAACCAAACCAUACGUUCCUUGGGUCACAUGUAAAGUCGCUCCACCUUUUCUCGAUCUUUCUCCACUGCGACCAGUCAGCGGGUGCUCUCAACUUCCCGUCUUUCUUACGGUCUUUUAUGUGCCAUUGCAUGAAUUCGACAUGGUUAUUGUUUCUGAACAGACGUUUCAACCAUGGUAUUAUAGGAGCAUACCACAUCACCUUGGCAGGAACCAUCUUCUCGGUGCGCUCGCCCUCAACAUCACCAGGGUCAUCUCUUCUGAUCUUAUACCACAAUGCGCGGCAUACCGGGAAUGCGUUCAAAUCCUCGUACGCACCGCGGUAGAGGAUGUAGUCAUUAGGGCAUGCAUGUAUCUUCUGCACCUCCAAUCCUAGAGGGCAUUGAACCUUCUUUGCUUCAUACGUACUGCCGGAAAAUUCGUUAUUCUUUGGAAGCGUCUUCUUCAUUAAUUUCUGUAGCGAACUAAAUCCCUUGUCAGAUACACCAUUGUCUGCAUUCCAUUGCAGCAAUACCAGUGUGGUACCGAGCUUUGUGUUGUCAUCUUCACAAUUUGGGUACAACCCUUUUACAUGAUACUCUAACAUGCGAUCGAACUUCAAGUUAUUCCUCUCACUUUCGCAUUCUCCAUGUGUAUCAACAAUGACCCGACGAAGAUCAUCAUCGGGCACAUCGUCUGAUUCCUCUUGAUCUUCAGCUUCCCCCAUUGCAACAUCACAGUAUUCAGGGGGCAGGUAGUUGUCAUCAUCCUCUUCUUCUACGUUAUCUUCCAUCAUAACCCCUCUUUCUCCGUGCUUGGUCCAAAAAUUAUAGUGUGGCAUAAUACCCUUCUAAAGCAGGUGGAAGUGAAGGUUUUAUAGUCGGAGAAUUCCUUCGUAUUCCCACACACAAUACAUGGACAAUGCCUAAAAACAUUAUGCUUGUUUGCGUCAGCCGCUUCGAGAAAAUUAUGCAGGCCCUUAAUAUAUUCGGAGGUGCGUCAGUCAUCAGUUCAUCUGUGUGCGUUAUACAAUAAAGUGUAUUAAAAACUAUUACAACAUAUCAUGAAUAGAGAAGUGACCAAAUUCAUAGAAAUUCAUCAUCACAUUAAAGCCAAAGUACAGUAGUGACCAAAAUAAAUACAUAAUGUUCAUACAUAGUUCUCAUUAUUGAACAACAUAUAGCUCUCUAGAGCAUCUAAUUAGAACAUACAUUGAAACAAUAAAUGCGAUCGUAAUCGCAACUAAGGUACCAAUUGAUCCAACGACAUAAUGAUACCAAGCCUCAGUAUGAAUGCUAUAUUUUCUAAUCUUUAUAAUCUUCAAGCGCAUUGCAUCCAUCUUGAUCUUGUGAUCGUCGACGAUAUCCGCAACAUCCAACUCCAAUAUCAUCUCCUCCUCUUCAACUCUUUGUAAUUUUUCUUUCAAGUAAUUGUUUUUUAACCAAAUUUAACUUCUCCGCAAGAAUUUCUAUGUCGGUUCGAAUUUCCGGUCACAUACCACCUAGAAUAAAAAAUCUAUGUCACGUUGGUCGGCAUAAUUGUCAUAAACACUAAAUAAAACAAAUAGUUAUAAAACAUAAUAUAUACCACAUCCGAAUCAUAGACAGGACGAGGGCCGACGGAGGCGGAUACCAAAAUCAUCACACUAUAUAAUAACAAACAAUAAUAAAAGUAAGAAAAUUACAUAUGUAUCUAUCUAAAUCAUACAAGUAAGAACUUUUUUCUUUUAGAAAGAAGAUAAGAAAAGAGACUAACCACGGUGGUGAUGGCACCGAGAUAGGAAAAUGGAGCUUGGACAAGGAGCUUCAAGAGGAGAAAGCUUAAGUGUGGCUCCGGCAUUUCAUCGAACACCUCAUAUGCAUAGGAGGUGAGCUAGAGCACCACAAAUCUCUCCCACGGCCGGCCGAAACACAGAGCAGUGCACUGCUCUGCUCGCGGGCUGGGGGUAUAUAUAGGCCAACCAUUAGUCCCGGUUUGUGGCUGGAACCGAGACUAAAGGACAACCUGAGGUCCCGGUUCUAGCCCCAAAUCGGGACUACUGGUUGUGGCUCAAGAGCGAGGCACAUUGGUCCCGUUUCGUAUCUGGAACCGGGACCGAAGGUGUCAAACGAAGCGGGACAAAUGGUGUUAGAAUAAAUCCGAUGCAUACCUCGAUAAUCCGAGGACCAAGCAAUCACACAAGUACGACAUCCAGAUUUUUUAACGAGGUUCACCGAUAUGGCUACAUCCCCGUGGCAUGACUACGGGCGCUUCUCCCCGUGACACCGCAACACCGGCCACCCGGGCGCCGGCACAAGCCGCCGGCUCUCCCUUGCGAGCCUAUCGCUAUCUAGUCGUCAUAGGUUACAACGUGGGGUGCCUCCUCAUCUAUAAGAGGCCAAGGGUACAUGUAUCCUACCCAAACUACAACACCAAGUCCAUAUGUAACCCAACUCGUACACAAUAUUCGACACAACUCUAACACCAAGUCCAUUGAUACGCAGUAGUACAUCGGAAAGCAUCAGGCUUUGGCAAAUCAAUUAGCAUCGAGCGUCCAUAUUUGUGCUUAUGAGUAGAUCACGUGUAAGGCCAAUUUAUUUUGGUGGUCUGCUACUAGUGCACGGAGGCGAGACCACUUGGGUUUUGCUAGUGUACUUUGGCAUCGCGGGGAUAACUCGGAUAUUUUUUCACACAGUCAGCCCUACAAAGAACCAUGGCGCCAGUGGGUACUAGGUUUGAGGUGGAGAAGUUCGAUGGGACUGGAAGCUUUGGGUUAUGGCAGACAAGGGUGAAAGAUUUGUUGGCACAACAGGGAUUUUUUGAAGGCGUUGUUGCACUACUAGGAAAAGGGCUAUAGAUGAUAUAGAUACUAAUGGCGCACCACACAAGCAGUGCGCCACUACUAUAUAGUAAUGGCGCACCAUGUGAGGUGUGCCAUUAGUGUGGUGGAUACUAAUGGCGCACCACACUCUCGGUGCGCCACUACUAAUUUUUUUUAUUUUUAUUUUUUUUGCAAAACUACUAAUGGCGCACCAGCUGGCGCACCAGAAGCUGGUGCGCCAUUAGUAACCUGCUUACUAAUGGCGCAUCUGGUAGUAGUGCGCCACUACUAUAAUUUUUUUUGUUUUUUUUGCAAACUACUAAUGGCGCACCAGAGCUAGUGCGGCAUUAGUAACCAGUGUUACUAAUGGCGCAUCUGUUGGUGAUGCGCCACUACUAUUUUUUUUUGCCGAACUACUAAUUGUGCACCAGAGGUGGUGCGACAUUAGUAACCAGGGUUACUAAUGGCGCAUAUGUAGGUGGUGCGCCACUACUAUAAUUAUUUUUUUCGCAAAACUACUAAUGGCGCACCACCACCCUCGCCGCCGAGCACCCCCCGCACCCUCCCCCGCUCCACCGNNNNNNNNNNNNNNNNNNNNNNNNNNNNNNNNNNNNNNNNNNNNNNNNNNNNNNNNNNNNNNNNNNNNNNNNNNNNNNNNNNNNNNNNNNNNNNNNNNNNNNNNNNNNNNNNNNNNNNNNNNNNNNNNNNNNNNNNNNNNNNNNNNNNNNNNNNNNNNNNNNNNNNNNNNNNNNNNCUAUCGGAAAAAAAAGAUUACUAAUGGCGCACCUGUGUGAAAUGCGCCAUUGCUAUAUAAAAAAAUAUUUACUAAUGGCGCAUUGCAUGGGGAUGCGCUAUUGCUAUCAAAAAAAUCUAACGGCGCACCGCUCCGGGGUGCGCCAUUGCUAACCGGCAGUGCCUGCCCCGGAUCCCGUCCCCCCGAUCCCCCCCCGGACCCCCCCCCCCCACCCCCCCCCCCCCCCCNNNNNNNNNNNNNNNNNNNNNNNNNNNNNNCCCCCCGCUGCUGCGGGAAUCCCUUCGACAGCCGCCUCUCCGCGCUCGACGCUGCCAUGCGCCCCAUCCAGCUCCACACCCACGUCGUCCGCACCGCCCACGAGAACAUCGACCGCACCCUACGCUCCAUUACUUGUAGCCAUCUCUCGACGCUUCAGCGCCUCCCACCUCGGCGCCCCCGCCUCAGCCGCCAGGACCUUCGCCGCGUCCCGCCGACAAGGAUACGGUGAGUUCCCAGUACCUUGCGUGAUGAUUGCACGGCGAUCUUUUCUCCAAAAUCUCGCUCGUCUUGUGAGAUUUGGCGCGCCUGGGUGUUCUUUAUGCCGUUCUUGGCAUGUUUCUUGUGCCCAACUGGUGGGGAUUUAGAGUUCUUGGCUGUAGGAUCUCGGGCACCCCAUUUGUGCUUGAGCUGGAAAGAACUUUUUACAAGUAAUGCUCUGCCAUUUUGCAGGAUGAAGGACGGGACGAUGAGGAUUGGCAGGAGGUGGAAGAUGAUGAGGUGAAAUUUUUCAGGUGAGAGAGAUGGUGUCCGUUCUGGACCUUGAUGUUCUAUUUUACCCUUGUCCUUAGAAGGGGCCAACAUUUCGUCGAAAGGUUUUAGAGAUGGGAGGGAAGACACGGUUCCCUUACAUUCAGUCCUAACAGUAAUAUUUGGUAAUCUUUUCUCCAAUAGUAUUUCCCCACUCGGCAAAAUAAUAUUGAAUUUAUUUUUGUUGCCGCAUUGUAGCACUGGCAUAACAUCUAAAUUAUGUAAGUUAGAUAUUAGCCAAUGCAUGCGUCUGUGCUAAAUAUAAGACUUGGGAAUUCUGUGUUUAAUUGUAUUGUUGUUUAAAAUACACCGAGUCUUGACACAGAUCGUCAUCGUGCAAUUCAAUGCCAUAUAAUUCCAUAAUACUAUUCAUGUUUCUCCUUUUUACUACUCUUAAUCAGGGACUGUUUUCCCACGUCCAAAUAUGAACCUAUCUACCGUCCCAACAUUUAUAUAUCAUUUGAAUACAUAAACAAAUUGUAGUUGGAGAAAUCCAGUGGGAAUAUGUUUGGUAAGUUCAUUAUUGAUAUUAAAGUCACUCGCGUGUGGCAGAAAAUGAUUAAUAGCAAUAGCGGACGCAUUAUACCAAAGCCGCUAUAUACAAAUGCAACGCAAAAGACAUAGCGUUAGAGGUGCGCUAUCGCAAUAGUGGACGCAAUAGUGGGUGUAGCGAACGCUAUUUAAAACCUUGCCUCUAGACAUAUGGUUAUUGUGAGACUUAAAGACAUAAUAUUCUCAAGUUAGUAGGAUAGACAUAAUAUUCUCACUACGGCUAUCGUUGAUGCCUCCUGUUCAGAUACAAUUAAGUUUUCAUGUCUCUCACUUGAGCUGUGUGUGAUAUGGCCUUUGAGCAGUGCUGGUUUGGCAAGUCGACCAUAUUGGAUAACAUAUCGCUUCAUGGAUUGGUGCUUGUUCUGUUUGCUGACACUUGGAUGUUCAUAACUUGGUUUCUCGAGCUACGAAUUUAUCACUUCUAUCACAUUUCUAUCACAUAUUAAACUGAUGGUUUGCCUACAACCCUCCAUUCAAAUUAAUAAAACCGUUGGCAUUGCACCUUGCUUGUAGAGUAUAGAGUAGAUACCGAACGAUGCGCUUAGAAAGUAUGAUACAUAUCUUCUUUUAUUUAUUUCUCUCUCCUGAUUUUACCAUGUUCCAUACCAUUGGACCGCCUUUUCCAGUAUCUCUACAGCUAAUCAUUCCUGUAGUUUCAUUGUCUUGCAGUUUUAGUUUGUUUUCAUCUCUUUACUCAAUGCUGUUUCUUUUGGCGUAAUGCAGUGGGAUUGUUAACCCUUUCAUUUGCUUAGCUCCCGAGUAGAAUUUACAGGUUUGACUGAAUUGUCGACAGGAAUGGCGAUUCGUUGCUGGUGCAGAGUCAGGAGUGCUUGGAGAAGGUUGCCAAGACGGUCUCCUUCCUCGCGCAGCCUGAAGGCUCAUUCCUGCUGUUGCUCCCAGGUNNNNNNNNNUCCUGCUGUUUCUCACAGGUAAUUCAGUUCUGAUGCAUCUGUUCUAAUACUUUUAUGGAGUUAUAUAUAGGGGCUGCUGAUUGUGUGCGUUUACUAGUUAGAUUUUGUUUGCAAUCAAGGGUGAACACUAUGAUCGUAGUAUCAUCUCCAUGACUGGAAAGUUUGUGCCUAUACCAUUGCUUCUUUCCUUCAGGCUUAAACAUUUGGUAUCACAUCUCAUUAAUUAGAGCGAGCGUGUGACCUAUGUAGCUGGGAUUACUUUGGAUUCAGCGCAACAUCGGCAGCUUGUAUUUAUAAUUUGGAACCAAACAACAUGUGCUUAUUCUUGUAUGUGAAUGUUCUCUUGAAAAUCUUAGUUGUAUUCUUUGGAGCUUAUGUGUAUAUAUCUCUGUGUGUGUGCGUGUGUAGUCUUCACUAGUUGACAAUUUAAGUAUCUUGAUACCUCCUAAAUUUUGUAACAAACAUUGCUGGUGUUGUUAUGUUAGAAGUCAAUAUUUAUCAAAAUUUGUAAUUCUUAAUCAUCUGUUUUCUUUCUCUAACGCUUUUGAUUCAUGCUUCUUUUGCGAGGGGAAGUUCAAAAGGACCGCGCGCUGGAGCUCCUAAACGUGCGCCCCUUCUACUUCGUUUACUUAUGUGGCGUGAAGACAUAAAGAAAACCUUUGGAGCCAUAGUUGUCUUUUUUGUCAUCUAAAAUAAUAAUGGUAACAUAUUAAUGCAAACAAAAUAAUAUUGUAGGUCAAAAAAUUGUAUGUGAAUAAUGAAUGGAUGCCAUGGAACUAUAUUUGUUAUGGAGCUAUGUAUGUAUGGAUGUUAUGGAACUAUAUGUAUAUAUGGAUGCUAUGGAAUUUUGGAUGUAUGGAUGCUAUGGAGUUUUGAUAUAUGGAUCAUGAAAUUUGUUAUGCAACUUUGCAUAUAUGUUAUGUGUUGUGGAUCAGUAAAACUAUUGGGCACAUGUUAUGUAUUAUAUAUUUGAUAUAUAUGUUAUGUGUUGUUGAAUUUGUGGUUUUGAAAAAAAACAUAUAUAUGCUAGAAUACCAGAUACUAAUGGAGCACCAUGGGCUAUACUAAUGGCGCACCUGGGAGGCAUACUAAUGGCGCACCUCGGAGGCAUACUAAUGGGGCACUAGGGAGGCAUACUAAUGGCGCACCUGAGAGGAAUACUAAUGGCGCACCUGGGAGGCAUACUAAUGGCGCACCUGAUAGGAAUACUAAUGGCGCACCUGGGAGGCAUACUAAUGGCGCACCAUGAGCAAUACUAAUGGCGCACUACCUGGUGCGCCAUUAGUAUACCAGAUACUAAUGGCGCACUUGUGGUGCGCCAUUAGUAAAAAAAUCUAAUGGCAUGAUGCUAGUGGUGCACCUAUAGUGCGUCAUUAGUAGCAAAAAUAGGUGCGCCAUUAGCAAGCCUUUUCCUAGUAGUGUUGUAGGAAGCCAAGCCAGCUAAGAUGGAGGCUGAGGACUGGGAGGAGUUACAGUUGAGGACAACCGAAACUAUACGGUUGUGUUUGUCGGACCAGGUUAUUUAUCAUGUGAUGGAUGAGAAUUCGUCGAAGAAGAUCUGGGAGAAGCUGGAGAGUCAAUUUUUGUCCAAGACUACGACGACCAAGGUGUAUCUGAAGCAAAAGUUGUAUGGGAUGAAGAUGCAAGAGGGGUCGGAUCUUGUGGAGUAUAUGAACGCCUUUAAGCAAGUCGUGACGGAUCUAGCACGCUUGGGUGCGACGAUUGACGACGAGGAUAGGGAAAUUCUGCUUCUUUGUUCAUUGCCAUCAUCCUAUGACCACUUGAUUACUACUUUGACGCACGGCAAGGAGACCGUCAAGAAUGAGGAUAUUAUUGCGGCCUUGCUAUCUUAUCAUAUGAGAAAGAAGAAUGCGGUGGAAGUCUCUCAUUGUGAAGGUUUGCUAGUGAAGGGUGAAGAGUGGCGGAAGGGAUAUGAGGCAGGGAAGAUCAAGCAAAAGAAAAAGAAAAUACAGUGUCACAAGUGUAAGCAGAGGGGACAUAUUAAAAACGACUGUGCAAAGCUCAAUGGUGGGUCAAGUGCUAAUAUGGCAAUUCAUGGUGAUGACUCAGACAACAAUAGUGAUGCCCUUGUAGUAUCAGACAAGCGGUCAACCAAAAGUGAAGCGUGGAUGUUGGAUUCAGCUUGCUCUUUUCAUGUGACACCCAACAAGGAGUGGUUCUCUUCGUACAAGUCGGGUGGUUUUGGUUUAGCCUAUAUGGGCGAUGACAGUGGUUAUCGUGUUGCUGGAGUAGAUGACAUCAAAAUCAAGAUGUUUGACGGAGUUGAGAGGAUGCUUCGGGGAGUCAGGCAUGUUCCGGGACUAAGGAGAAAUCUAAUUUCGCUUGGAGUUCUUCAUGAUGGUGGUAUGGUAUCCAUUGUGAUCAGGAUAGGAAGACCAUGAAAAUCAUGGAAGAUGAGGUGACCGUGAUGAUUGGAGCGAGGAUGGCUUCGCUUCUUUACAAGUUGCAAGGAAGAACUAUUGCAGGUGGAGUCACGAAGACUGGAGUUGCAGGAGUAGCAGCAGGUUCCCACGGAGGCGGCGGGUCUGUGGCAGACUCGUCAGGUAGCUCUCGGUAAGCUACGAAGAAGCCAACACAAGUGUGGAGUACAUGGAAGUUUUACGCAUGGACAAAUUCAAAGGGGUGAAGAAUAUUUGCCAAGGUGGAGUUUGUUAGAGUUGUGUUGAAUAUUGUGUACGAGUCGGGUUACAUAUGGACUUGGUGUUGUAGUUUGGGUAGGAUCCAUGUAGUGACGUAGUCGGACACGUUGUACCCUGGACCUCUUAUAUAUGAGGAGGCACCCCACGUCGUAACCUAUGACGCCUAGAUAAUAUCCGACACGACUCUAACAAAUGGCCCACGAGGCCCGGCCGGUGCCCUGGUCUCACGAACCGGGACCUAUGCCCACAUGGGUCCCGGUUCGUGAGAAAACAGAAACUAAUGGAAUUUCAUCAUGUGGACCAAAGCCCUCUUUUCUACUAAUGGAAAUGCAUGCUAGAUACUUCUUUAAUGAGAUUUAAAAAAAUAGAAGACAAGGGGUAUAGUGGAGAUGAAUGGGAAGAUAGAAAAAGAAGAAUAAGAAGAGUUUAUUCAAACAAAUGUAGAAUCAAAAUGGAAGGUUUUGUUCUUAUUAGCAUUUCUUACUCCCGAAUUAACAUUGAUAUAAAGUAGUAACUUCAGAUAUUUAUGACUUACUCCCUCCAUCUCAGUUUAUAAGUCCGGCACGUGUAUCUAGGUCGUCAAUUUGAUCAACUUAAUGAUAAACAUAUAUUACAAAAAAUAUAUCAUUAAAAACUUUAGAUGUUCUAUUUUCUAAUGAUAUGAUUUUUAUUUUAAAUAAUAGAUUUUAUAUAAGUCAAAUUUACGACCUAGGUACACGCGCGUGUCUUAUAAACUGUGACGGAGGUAGUAACAUUCUUUCUGCAAAUAAAGUUUGGCACAUGCAUGAAGCUGGCUUAUUUAAUAUGGCAUCACAAAGAGAACUCAUAUCCACCAUUUCUUUCUCCUCCUUGUGAUUCAGAACUUAAAUUCUUCUUACCUAGUACUCCCCGAGUUGUAUAAAUUUAGACAUUUACUUUCGGAUGAAGAAAGUAAUUCAAUGAAUCAUCCAUUAGGACAAACUACCCAUCCACUGAUCUAUCUUCACUUACCGGCAUGGAUAAUCUGCCAGUGAUACUACUUACUACAACUAGUCGAAACCGUCAAGGGUGAAGUUCGACAUUGCGAAGAUUCUGUCAAAAAAUUUACUGCUGCCACUUUCUGCAAAGAAAGUUUGGCACAUGCAUGAAGCUGGCUUAUUUAAUAUGGCAUCACAAUGACAACUCAUAUCCACCAUUUCUUUCUCCUCUAUGUGAUUCAAAACUUAAAUUCUUCUUACCUAGUACUCCCCGGGUUGUAUAAAUUUAGACAUUUACUUUCGGAUGAAGAAAAUAAUUCAAUGAAUCAUCCAUUAGGACAAACUACCCAUGCACUGAUCUAUCAUUACUUACCGGCAUGGUAAUCUGCCAGUGAUACUACUUACUACAACUAGUCGAAACCGUCAAGGGUGAAGUUGGACAAUGCGAACAUUCUGUCAAAAACUUUACUGCUGCCGAGUCCAAUAUGCAGUUUUUCAACAAUGAAUUGUUCUUGUGAUCAUGUGUAAUCAAUUUGGACAUGUAGUUACAUAUUAGAAGCCUGUUAUUUCUGUUUUUAUGUUCGUUGAAAUCCAAUGAAUCAUUGGGAACCAGUUAUCAUACCCAGUGCAAACAACCAGUGAUGAGCCGAUGCCCAAUUUUUUUAUUACACAUUAAAAGAAGUAAAAUACAACAUGCAAAUCCAUUCAUCUCACAUCAUUAUUUGCUCUAUUCAAUUAUUUCUCUAUUAGGAGAAUGGUCUGAUACUGAAGGCCAAGGGACUUGCCGGGGGUGAAGGUGGUGCUAUUUCUGGGACACGGUAACCUGCAAAAUUGCAGUUUUGGGAUUAUAAUGAUGAACUAGUAGAGAAAUUAAAUAAAGUGUGUAUAUAUUUAUAUGAAAAUAUAACAACCUACACAGUUGCUGUGUGUGUGCAAACUAUUGCCGCAUGCACGUGUAACCGUGGCAAACUUGGAGAGACUGAUCAAAGUCAGUUCAUGAGCCAUGAAGCGAUCACAGACGCAGUGGAUGUCUUUGGCAUCUUUUAUUGUAUGACAACACGGGCUCUCUAGUGGCGGGUACCGGUCACCAAGGCUCUUUUCGAUGUUAUGCCAACAGUCUCGCAUCACCAUUUUUUGUCAAGGAGGCAAUGGUCUACCUGGUUGACUUCUCGUGCAUAGCACGAACAAGAAGAGAGACCGACAAGGACUAGGAAGCAUACUCCGACUAAUUUUGCGUUGUUCAUGUUCUAUGUUGUGUAGUAC
rnacentral:lncRNA from 1 species